GACGUAGGGUGCGAGCGUUGUCCGGAUUUAUUGGGCGUAAAGAGCUCGUAGGCGGCUCGUCGCGUCGACCGUGAAAACCCGCGGCUUAACUGCGGGCUUGCGGUUGAUACGGGCGGGCUAGAGUUCGGUAGGGGAGACUGGAAUUCCUGGUGUAGCGGUGAAAUGCGCAGAUAUCAGGAGGAACACCAGUGGCGAAGGCGGUCUGCUGGGCCGUUGCUGACGCUGAGGCGCGACAGCGUGGGGAGCAACAGG
rnacentral:rRNA from 1 species